AUACAGCGAAACUGCGAAUGGCUCAUUAAAUCAGUUAUCGUUUAUUUGAUAGUACCUUACUACAUGGAUAACCGUGGUAAUUCUAGAGCUAAUACAUGCUAAAAAGCCCGACUUCGGAAGGGUUGUAUUUAUUAGAUUAAAAACCAAUGCCCUUCGGGGCUCCCUGGUGAUUCAUAAUAACUUCUCGAAUCGCACGGCCUUGCGCCGGCGAUGGUUCAUUCAAAUUUCUGCCCUAUCAACUUUCGAUGGCUGGGUCUUGGCCAGCCAUGGUAGCAACGGGUAACGGAGGGUUAGGGCUCGACCCCGGAGAAGGAGCCUGAGAAACGGCUACUACAUCCAAGGAAGGCAGCAGGCGCGCAAAUUACCCAAUCCCGAUACGGGGAGGUAGUGACAAUAAAUACUGAUACAGGGCUCUUUUGGGUCUUGUAAUUGGAAUGAGUACAAUUUAAAUCCCUUAACGAGGAACAAUUGGAGGGCAAGUCUGGUGCCAGCAGCCGCGGUAAUUCCAGCUCCAAUAGCGUAUAUUAAAGUUGUUGAGGUUAAAAAGCUCGUAGUUGAACCUUGGGCCCAGCCGGCCGGUCCGCCUCACCGCGUGCACUGGCUCGGCCGGGCCUUUCCUUCUGGAGAACCGCAUGCCCUUCACUGGGCGUGCUGGGGAACCAGGACUUUUACUCUGAACAAAUUAGAUCGCUUAAAGAAGGCCUAUGCUCGAAUACAUUAGCAUGGAAUAAUAGAAUAGGACGUGUGGUUCUAUUUUGUUGGUUUCUAGGACCGCCGUAAUGAUUAAUAGGGACAGUCGGGGGCAUCAGUAUUCAAUUGUCAGAGGUGAAAUUCUUGGAUUUAUUGAAGACUAACUACUGCGAAAGCAUUUGCCAAGGAUGUUUUCAUUAAUCAGGAACGAAAGUUAGGGGAUCGAAGACGAUCAGAUACCGUCGUAGUCUUAACCAUAAACUAUGCCGAUUAGGGAUCGGACGGUGUUAUUUUUUGACCCGUUCGGCACCUUA
rnacentral:rRNA from 1 species